AUGGCCUGGACAGGCAGCAAACAAACCCAUGUUCCAAGCCACAGAGAUGUAUAUGAGUCCCCACAGGAUAUGACAGGAAGCAGGAGGUUUGAGGUGGGGACAUCUCUCUGCUGCAGCUGCAAUGCAAGAAAGGCUGACCCAAGUCACACCAAAAGUCCAGUUUAUGCUACUUGUCAGCAUUUCUCCUUUUGGACAGAAGCAGAAAAUAACAGUGUUCCACGAGUGAAUGCACAAGUGGACUUCACAAAAUCACUGGGCUGUUUGCAGUGGGUAUCUAGAAAUUCAACCUUGUGGUACUUUGAUGUGCAUUAA
rnacentral:lncRNA from 1 species